GGGGGAUCGAUCGAACAAGCAGAGAGAAGGGGGAAACCCUAGCUCAAGCAAAAACAAGCAAUUGGAUCUAAAUUCUCAAGAUAAUCUAGUGCAUGAGUCCAUAAAUCUGAAUAACUAACCUCAAUUUCGCGUGAAAGAAGAAGGUACAAGCACUAAGCAAGCGGAAGGAGCACAAGAUCGAGGUAAAGCACCUCUAUAGGCGAUUUGGAGUUAUGGGACGAGCACAUGUUCAAGCCUUAUAAUACCAAGCGCUUCCGCAACUCAUAUGCAUACUUUUGGGUCCAUGUUUUGCCACUUUGUUAGACUUUGUUGAAAUGUUUUAGAUUUA